UUUAUUUAGCAGUAACCCACAGUAGACCACGGCCUUGAGGAGAUGAUGAGGAGGAGGAUGAUGAUGAUGUUGGGUAUCUCAUACUGUUGCCCAGGAAAAGGAUGGGCUCUUUGGAAACAAGCAAACUUGUCUUGUCAACUGCCAUCUCCACGACCUGCUUGCCCUCCAUCUCACUAUUCCGAAUCCGAGGUGAAAAUAUCGAGGAAGCCUCCUCAACUGCACGAACAACUCUAGGGAAAGUGUCCGCGACUGUCCACGUGAAGAAGGCCCGGUGUGCGGUGGCAAGGGGGGCCAAACUUCGGAAAUAUUGAAAGCUUUAUUUUUUUUUUCAUUUUUUCGCUCCCGCUUUCUAUUCGCUCCCCUAAACAGCGAUAACUUCUCCCUGACCCCAAAGUGACACCGUUUCCAUUUAGUUUCUGAUUAAUCUUGCCCAUUGACAGUCUUUGUUAAACAACAAGGCGUGACUUCUCCAAAGAGGCGACAUUUUCAUAUUUGUUAGACGUAGUGACCUGAAGUUCACCCCGGACUUGGACUUCGGUUUUCGGGUCUACUCGACUCUGGGGAGAUAACGGUGCACUUAGUACGGGUCAGCACUCAACAGCGCCCCAAAAAUAAUAAUAAUUUGUGAUUAUUUUUUUGUUGUUGAACAGUACAAAACCCACAUCUGGCCUCCAGAACGCAUGUAGCCAAGACCACCGAGAGCCUAUCUGUCAAGAUAAUAUCCAAGAAGCUGGCUGCGGAUGACACUGAACUUGGCCUAAAGCGAGCUCUGCUGGUGGCUCCGGGAGGAUGCAGAUUUAUCUUUCUGCUAUGGCUGACCUCGCGGUGAACCGCGCGCUGGGGACGGUUCUUUUUUUCUGCAUGGCAUUGUCUGCCUUGCUGUGCAACGCAUAAGGGACCCCGAUUUGGACAUUUUAAUUGUGUAACAAUGGUGUACAUUUCUCCCCAGACGUCACAAUGAUAAUGGCAUAGAAUAAUGGUUUUACUUAUAUUUUCUACACCACAAACUGUAAUGGAAAUAAAGUUACAUUUCGUUGCAUUGGC